CCGACUUCAGCUACAGUGCUAGCUAAGUCGG
rfam:Colinus virginianus strain Texas jcf7180006219022, whole genome shotgun sequence.